rnacentral:rRNA from 1 species
AACGAACGCUGGCGGCAGGCCUAACACAUGCAAGUCGAGCGCUCUCUUCGGAGGGAGCGGCGGACGGGUUAGUAACGCGUGGGAAUGUACCCUUCUCUAAGGAAUAGCCAUUGGAAACGAUGAGUAAUACCUUAUACGCCCCCCGGGUCAAACUGGGGGGAAAGAUUUAUCGGAGAGGGAUCAGCCCGCGUAAGAUUAGAUAGUUGGUGGGUAAUGGCCUACCAAGUCUACGAUCUUUAGCUGGUUUUAGAGGAUGAUCAGCAACACUGGGACUGAGACACGGCCCAGACUCCUACGGGAGGCAGCAGUGGGGAAUCUUGGACAAUGGGCGCAAGCCUGAUCCAGCCAUGCCGCGUGAGUGAUGAAGGCCUUAGGGUCGUAAAGCACUUUCGCCAGGGAUGAUAAUGACAGUACCUGGUAAAGAAACCCCGGCUAACUCCGUG